rnacentral:lncRNA from 1 species
GGCAUCCUUUAUUUAACACAUAGGAAAACACGUAUAACAUACGUGUUAAAUUACGCAACCAUCAUAUCUACUAAAUACAAAUACCAUCCCAGGCUACGAAAAAUAAAAUGCAGCUGUCAUAACCUUUAUUGACAAAUCGACAGCUCUCCACAUAGUCAGCUUUUAUUUCCACUCAGCUCAGGAAAUUAACCUUUAGGAAUUAAUGAUAACAUGCAGCGGUCGUAAAAUAAGAAGGGAAGGAUAUAACAAACAACAAAGAGCAGUUCAUCACAAACAGCACAGGCAUUGCAACCGGGCGACGGAUCGAUCGAUGAUGGGCUGAUGGAGAGCCGCUGCGAUGGAUUAACAAUUAUACGGAGGCCAACGUGGCAUCAUCGCUCAAUUAGCCAAUGUAGUAGAGGGGGUCAGGCAGCUUGAAGGUGCGAGCACCCUCCGGCGCGCCCAGGAUGUCGCUCCACUGGUCGCCGAUGUUGCCGACGAUGACGUACCCGGCGUCCUGCAGCUUCUGCCGCUCGCCGGACUUGUAGGCGAUGGCGGUGGCCUUGAGCCCGACGGGCUUGAGCAGCAGGUCCAUCCAGCCGGAGUAGCCCUGGCGGCGGAGGUUGGUGACGGUGAUGGCCCUCUGGUCCUCGGUGCGCCCCGUCAGGAACACCGGCUUGAUGCCGAGCGAGAUGAGCUUCUUGAAGAGCCGCUGCGACUCCGGCAGCACCGGCGCGCUCCCCUCCAGCACGUACUCGUUGAAGCUCGUUGCGUUGUACGGCUUAGUGCUACACAAUGACAGUGAAACAACAGUCAGCUACUCUAUCUGUCCAUGAAAAAAAACACUUUUUAAGAAUUUAUAUUAGUUAAACUUUUUUUAAAUUUAAUUAAUAACUUUAUAGAAAAAAGUAAUAACAUCUAUAAUAUAAAAUGUAUCUCUUAUAAAAAUAUAUUCUAUGAUAAAUCUAAUAAUAGUAAUUUGAUAUUAUAAAUCGUGUAUUUUUUAAAAAAAUUGUUAAAGUUUAAAAUUUUUAACUGAGGUCAACUUUCGAAAUUGUUUCUUUCGUGUACAGAGAGAGUAGGGGUUAAGUAUAGUUGGCACCAUGCGUUAGACAGUAACAUAAUUUUUCUUUGUGGGUGAACAGUAGACAACCUGCUUUUGGAUAGGACGGUAUCAAGAUUCCAGAAAUUGAUAAGGUUUCUGUAGCCAGAAAGCAGUUGGCCAAGUGGACCAGUGAUAUAUCUACUGUAUGUAUUCUGCACGUACGUGGUCCUGCUCUGAUCUGGCAUAAUCUCAUCAACGUCCCCGUCAGGCAUUGUUUUGCUCGGCACAUGCAGACAUGCUGCCCUUGUCCUUGUCCCAGCACCAUCAUAUCUGUGCCCCUUUCUUUGAGAUAGAGGACACAGAAACUAUACAUAUACAUAGGUUUUCUACUGUGGACUACUCCAACAUGGCCAAAUGCAAUUACGUUUGCAACAUAUGUAAUAUGCAAAUAUAAGAGUUUCUAACUUUGUCCUAAACUAUUACUACAAGUAUGAUUAAGUUAAUAGAAAAAACAACAAUAUUUAUGACUGAUACCAAUUGAGCAUUAUGAGGUCCACUCAAUUAAAGAUAUAUAUAUAUAUAUAUUUUUACAUUUUUCUUCUUUGAUGUCAGAGAUGCUCAUACACAAAAUUAGUCAAACUUCCAAUAGUUGCAUUUAGAAAUAGGAUCAGAAGCAUUUUGUACUUUUGGAUGGUGGGAGUAGACCGAUUUAAUGUCUUUCUAAGUAAAAUUUAUCUAAUAUUAAACAAUACAAGUUUAUAUAUAAAACAAUGUAUCGAUAUCUAUAAUACCACAGAAAUGAACUGUAAAGAUAUGGUGGCACGUAUUUUGUUCUAUAUAAAAUUUUAAACUGCUUACACCUUGAAAUUAAAUGGACGGAGUACCUAGUGUUGAAGUAACUUCUAUAAAUAAAAAAAACAAUGUUCGGUUAUCAAAUGAUAUGCUGGAUUUUAUAUACGCGACAUUUUAAAUUGGAUUUUUAGUGGCAGAUGGCCUAACUACCGGAUCUAAAAAUAUGACUAUUUGUACUUCCUUGCGUCUGACAUAACCCAUAAACCACCACCAGUACAAAACUAAACAUAUAUAUAUAUAUAUAUAUAUAUAUAUAUAUAUAUAUAUAUAUAUAUAUAUAUAUAUAUAUAUAUAUAUAUAUAUAUAUAUAUAUAUAUAUAUAUAUAUAUAUUCUACUAGUAGUAGUUUUAAUCAACUAUUAGUAAAAAUAGGAGCAUUUGUACUAAUGGUCAUGUGACAUAAAACGCAACUGAAAUGAUUUUUUUUCACUAGCCGUUCUUGUGUGUUAGCCCCCCAAAAAUAACUGCUAUUAGCGUCUCCUUUUGUACAUCGUCAGUAAAAAAAAAAUAAGUAGCGCACUGUAAUGAAAACCGUCUCUAUAUAUUAGUCAGGCUAGCUAAUUCUGCGCUGGAGAAUAUAUAUGCGUACUAGCCAUGAAACAACAUAAUACGUACCGGCGUACGUACGUACGCCAGCAGCUGCGUGCGACCAGGGCCUUGUUUAGUUCCGAAAAGUGAAAAGUUUUCGGUACUGUAGCACUUUCGUUUGUUUGUGACAAAUAUUAUCUAAUUAUGGACUAACUAUGAUCAAAAGAUUCGUUUCGUGAUUUACAACUAAACUGUGUAAUUAGUUUUUAUUUUUGUCUAUAUUUAAUGUUUUAUGCAUGUGCCACAAGAUUCGAUGUGACGGGAAAUCUUGAAAACUUUUUGGUUUUUAAGGUGAACUAAACAAGGCCAGGUUUGCUCUGGGACGUACGGACGGAGUACUUGCCGUCAACUAUAUACACGGGUAUCGAAUAAAAACCAUUAAACAACGUGUGUGUAUAACGUACGUACCCGAAGCCAUGGGUGGCAUAGUAGGGGAGGUUGGAGAGGGACGUCUCGUCGAUAUCGAACACCCACACCUCCUUGCCGUUGCCGGCGAGCUUGAGCCCCUCGGCGUACGCGAUAGCCUCGUCGACGACGACGCGGGAGUCCCGGCGGUAGUGCCCGCCGAGCAUGUAGUGGCCGACGUAGCCCUCGCAGCUGCCCGGCACCGUCGUCCAGUCGCGCUUGUUGUACGUCUCCACGGCCAGCCGCCAGCUGUCGCACGGCACGCCGGCGCGCAGGCCCAGGUCUCCCGCGGAGCCCAUCAGGGGCCGCAGCGCGUGGAUCAGCGACGACGACGCCGACGCCGACGACGCCGCCGACGACAGGUCUUCCUUCAGGCGCUCCGCGGCGGCCUCGACGGACUGCGCCGCCGUCGUCGUCGGCAGCGUCCGGAGGAGGCUCAGUGGCCCCCGCCAGGCGCUGCCGCCGCAGGAGCUGCCGGCCACGAGGACCAUCAGGAGGACGAGCUUGGCCGUGGCCAUUGCCAUUGCCAUUGCGACUGCGCCACGCACCCGAUCUGCUGCGUGCUAGGAGAACACUCUGUGUGUCCCCUGUUCUAUCUGCGAUGCACAGCACAGGCGUGGUUGUGUGAACUUUAAUAGAGCAUGCGUGUAGUGUUGAGGGCCCACAUGUCAUCAGCCCAGCGCGUGAACCACGUGGAGUAUGGUCACUGACGUUGAUGGGCAGGUUUGGACGGGCGCGAUGGGACGAAUGGUAGUGGACAAGCGCUGCUGGCCGUGUACCCAUUAUUGGAUGACAAUGGGUAGUUUUGGGUUGGAUAUCUUUGGGUUUCAGGUUCAGGUUUGGAAGGGAUUUCUCACCCAUGCUUUUUGGGUUUGGGAGCCCAAAACCUAUUGCAUUCGGUUGCGGGUUUGAUUUUUUCAUCCGAUGGUAUCCAAUGGAUACCAGAUUUGAAUCAUUUGGUACCAAAAAAUCGAGUAUCCAUUGGGUAGAAAAAAAGUUAUUCCUGGAUCAUUUGGUACCAAAAAAUCGCCCAAAACCUAUUGCGUUCGGUUGCGGGUUCAGGGAAUCAUUUUGGGUAUCCAAUCGAGUUUCGGGGAUUCGUGGGUAUUAGUUUCAGGGAUGGAUUUCCAUCCAAGUUUGGUGUUUGAGGCGGUUCAGGUUUUCAGUUCGAGUUUCGGUUUUGGAUGCCCAGAGACUCCACCCGAUUCAAACCCUAUUGUCAUCCUUAAUUAACCAUGAGAAUGUGAGACGCGGAGGACCGAUAUGAUGACAUAACAGGCACAGCAUGCCUGCAUGGAUGCAUGCAAAAGGUCUGAUAAUGUAAGGUGCCUUGGCUCACCCACUGAGAAGAUACUGACUUGUACAUUUAAUUUAUUUUAUUUAUAAAAAACAUACAUAAAUCUCACAUACGUAUUACACUGAUGAUACGCACAUGAUAUCUCUAUGAAUGAGACCAGGGGUGGGGUGAAUCUUAGCCUUCAUUAUUGGUGUGGCACGAGCAUGACCACAACGAUGAAAUUUGGCAAAAACCAGUGGACACCUAAUUCAUCAUUGUUGGGACCCCGUGAAAUCCGGAUUUGCUCUGAAUAAGGUUAAGAGCAUCUCCAUCACAUUGAUUUAAAUGCAUCCAUUUUCCUUAUAAAGCAGAAAUAAAGGGAAUUGCAAAAAAUGAGCUCCAUGAGAUCCCUUCUCAAUCCUUUUCUCUAUUUUUUUCUCAAUUCGUCAAAUUCUCUCCUCUCUCUCAAACAACGGGAAACUAAUAGGAUUUUUUCUCAAUCCCCUUUCAUCCCUCCUAUUUCAUUGGCAUAUAUGCGGGCCCUGCUAUACCUGAAUGGCACCAUCGACCGCAAAAUAGAGUAGUUGUGGGUAUAGGCCGCUAUAGCUACUCAUAGAUGAUGUAGAGCUCAAUAUAUAUAGGUCGUAGUCGGAUAUUUUGAACAUUGGUACAAACUCGGUGUGUGUAAUAUUGGUACAUAGGUGUAUUUUACAGCUACAUAAAUUAAUUUUAGCCAUGACCAAAAUCAAUUAGUAGAUGCAGUUUUUGAAAAACCACAUGUACCCAAGGGCCCCAAAUCAAGUAUUUUCUAGAUGAAGGUGUUGCAAGGCACCUAAAAAUCGAUUUCUAGAAUAGAUCAGUAAGGUUGCUCUCCCUAGAUAUCUCACGAACUAUCCUAAAUAUAUAGAUAAUGGUCUAUAUAUACAAUUUCUAGAAUGGAUUGGUGAGGUUGCUCUCCCUAGAGAUAUCUCUCACCAACUACAUCUAGAUAUAUAUCAAAUAAAAUAUGUCCUCUUGUGUUGUCAAGGAUUCAGGCCUAUGACUUCAUGCUUUUUUCACAACAACUAUGACUUCAAGCUUGGCGCGAGCCCGCAAUGGGACACAAUCAUUGGUGACUGAAUAUCGGAUGCUAUUCUUUUAUAUUUUUUUACACGAGGAAUCUUCCCAUUUCCAUUGAUGACCCAAUAUAAUGGAAAUACAACAUUUAAGAGGUUACACAACAAUAUAAGAUGAAUAAUUCACUAGAAUAACCACAAAACAUCAGGCCUAUAUCAGGUGCUACAUAGAGCUAAAUUGAAUAAUACUUUGACAAACCAGGGAACACCUUGCCCAACAGUUAGAGAAAACUAGAUAAUUAAAAAAUAGAGUUUUUCUACAAAGAAAGGCCAUCCAAAUGCCACAAGUGCUGAGGCAGUCAAGCGCCAGUAGGCACCUUUCACCAUCUUCAAUCUUGAUCAUCGUCUUGGUUAUCCUCCAACAUGAGUUGCCAGCUGUGGGGGUAUAAACCCCUAUACCCUUACGGCUAGACUUCGGCCAGGAAGCUUGGCCCAGUACGAGACGAGUUCAAGGCUUGAUCCGACAACCUGGAGUUUCGCGCAAGGAAACAAGAUGGGGAGAUCAAGCAGGAUUCUAGUCGGUUAGAAUAGGAAUUGAUAUCGAAUUAUCCAUGGCAAUUGUAACCGACUAGGAUUAGUUUCCAGAUCUGUAACCCUGCCCUCCGGACUAUAUAAGGAGGGGCAAGGGACCCCCCUAGGACAUCAUAUUCUCUCAGCACAAAUCAAUACAACCAGACGCAGGACGUAGGUAUUACGCCAACUCGGCGGCCGAACCUGGAUAAAAAGCUUGUCCGUGUCUUGCGUCACCAUCGAGUUCGUAGUUUGCGCACCGUCUACCGAUAAACUACUACCGAGGGUAUACCCCAAGGUAGACUGCCGACUAGCUUUCGUCGACAGUGGCGCGCCAGGUAGGGGGUGUGCGUGCAACUUUUCCGGCGAACAAGAUGGUCACGAUCCCAGCUUCCGCGACCGUGCCCGAAGGCCUCACGUUCACCGUCGGCCAGAUCACGUGGACGACGUGCAGCGGCGGCUUCGCGACCAUGGUUCCGAAAGAGAUCCAGAUCCAAUCUGAGAUCACGCCGUCUCCGACCACACGCAUGACGGCACCAAGCUCCCGACCACCGUUCCCACUCUACAAGGGAAAGGAGAUCGACUGCUCGGACCUCCUCCAAGCGCUCGAUCGCGCUGACUCCAAGCUACUCGAAGUCUCCCAACUAAUAGAUGGAGUUCUGGGCCGGCCCGACCAAGCUGCUCGAGCGGAUUUUUCGAAAUCCCGCCGGCCAACUCGUGUCGCCACACACGAACGGCUGGGAACGUCCCUGACGAUAACCUCAACCCCCUCAGGACGAUCCGUCGAGCUCAAAAAGGAAGACUAUCCUUGCGGCCUGAACAACUCGGCCUCUGUUUACUCACAGCAUGUCCAAUCCGUUUUCAGCAAGGCGGGUUGGUCGCCGACAAGGAACAACCGUCACCAUGUCAACAUGGUGACAAUCCGAGAGCUACGGGACGGCCAGGUUUCCAGCACCAACUCAAGCACCGGCUCCGUCCCCACCGAGGUUAUAAACACCGAAGACGAGGGCUACGACCUGGAUUUUCCUUCACACCCUCCGGGUUUCGACCGAUUCCCGAUAUUCCCCCCCCCCCGGCGAGGGGAUAUUGUGUUCAAUGUUAGCGCCGACGAACCGGCUGUUGACGGAGAAACAGAUGACCAGAGGCAACUCCGCGAACAGCGUAACGCCGAUCGCGCCCGACGGCGUGCGGACGAGCAACAACAGAUGCCACCAAGUAACCUCAAUGAUGCCUUUGACAUGGUCGGGGACCAGCCGGUCUACAAAACGCCAAGCGCCAACGUGGCUGUCGCCAUGGCCAACCUGGAUCGGCUUCCUGACACCCCCGAGUGCCAGGGAGUCCGGACCAGCAUCCGAGCACACCUGAUCGCCGUAAUGGGACAGACAGCCACUCUGCUCAAGAGAGUCCAGGACGUCUCUUAUACGGAAGCCGCCUCCGACCAGACUAAUCGUAGCCAGGUCUCACCCAGCAGGCGUCACCGCAGCCGCUCCCCCGACAACAGUCGAGGGGACUCGCGGCGCGACGAUGGUGGUCGGGACGCCGAUGGCCGCCGCAAGCAAAUUCAUGGCGUACGCGGCCAAGAAGAAGAUCAACACAGGGAUCUCCGCCACAACAUCCCUCCCAAAGAUGCCCGGGACCGCAUCAACAGGCGCGCCGCAGAGAGUGCAGUCCACGAAAACCUGCGCCGCAUCGAGUACGAUGCGACCCACGGUCCUCCGGGCCUAAGACAGUUCUCCUCACACCUCCGCCAGGUCGUGUGGCCCCGCAAUUUCAAGCUCGAAAAACUUAAAAAAUACGACGGCAAGGAAAAUCCAGAGAACUGGAUCACUCUCUAUGAAAUCGCCGUCCGAUCAGCGGCAGGAGAUGAGCACGUCAUGGCUAACUACUUCCCCGUAGUCCUCGACCAGGAUGGUCAUCAGUGGCUUCUCGGCUUGCCCGAGGACUCCUUCGACUCCUGGGAAGAGCUACGCCAGGCUUUCAUCGACAACUUCAUCGCCACAUGCGAGCUGCCCGGAAACAAGUAUGACCUUGAAAGGAUAAGAGACAGGAAGAAUGAACCUCUGCGCGAUUACAUCCGACGAUUCUCGGAUAUGCGCCUCAAAAUCCCGAAGAUUUCUCAUGACGAGGCCAUAUCAGCCUUUAUCAAGGGCUUGCGUUUCCAUGAAGCGCUGAGGAACAAGCUGUUGCGUAAGCGCCCAUCAACGGUAGCAGAGCUCCUCGCCACGGCUAAAAAUUACGCCGACGCUGAUGACGCAGAAAAACUAAUCCGAGACGAUGCGAGAGGCCCCGACCAGCCUUCCCGGCGAGAUGACGGUCGUGGUCGCUACGACAACAGAAAUCACCGCCGCUCCGACAACCGCGAUCACCGAGAGGGUUGGGAUCGGCGGCGCGACAGCCGCGACGACUUCAGAGGAAAGCGCCCUCGCGAAUACGACCACGAAGUAAAUACGGUCAAACGUCCCAAUGGACGACGGGACUACCAAGACGACUACAACAAAACGUUGAAGGGACCGUGCCAGCUACACCCAAAGUCUAACCAUACCAUGGAAGAGUGCCGCGUCCUCAAAAGUAUCUAUACACGGCGGGCCGCCCAAGAGGACUCCGCCAAGAAGAAUAACAAGCGCGACGGGCACGACCACGAAGAUGAGGAUGAGGACCAAGACAGGGACCCCCGACACCAAUACGUCAGCCCCACCGACGUGGUCCACUCCAUUUUCGGGGGCAAGGUCUCCACUGAGUCCAAGCGAGAAAGAAAGCUGUUAAAGAGAGCCUGCCUCAACAUAGACAGCACGGACGGGCUGAUCGCAGAUCCGAAAUUUCCCGCGUGGUCCCACAGGGAGAUCUCGUUCAGCAGGAAGGACCAGUGGGCCGCUAUCCCAGAGCCGGGUCGUUUCCCACUGAUUCUUGAUCCCUGCAUCAAUAGCAUCAGAUUCGAGCGCGUGCUCGUGGACGGGGGAAGCUCCAUCGACAUCCUCUUCCGCAACAGCCUGCCCGCCCUCAAGAUAUCACCGGCACAACUAAAACCUUACGACGCCCAAUUCUGGGGGGUUUUGCCAGGUCAAAGUUCGGUGCCCCUCGGACAGAUAACAUUGCCUGUCCAAUUCGGCACACCCGAUCACUUCCGGACGGAGUUCAUCAACUUCGUAGUCGCGGAUUUCGACGGGACCUAUCACGCCAUACUGGGCCGCCCAUCGCUGACAAAGUUCAUGGCAGUCCCGCACUACUCAUACCUAGUCCUUAAGAUGCCCACGGAGAAGGGUGUCCUAACCGUCAGAGGCAACGUCUACACCGCGUACACCUGCGAAGAAGAAAGCUUCAAGAUCACCGAGGCAAUCGACCUCUCAAUCCGCAUGGCGGAAACAGCAAACCAAGCCGCACAGCUGCCUCCCGACCAGCUCCGAUUACCUGAGCAGGAGACAGCCAGAAAGAACUCGAAAUCCAAGGAGUACAAAGAAGUGCAGCUGGUCGAAGGCAACCCCGAGAAGACAGCCCUCAUCGGGGCUAACCUGGAUCCAAAAUAGGAAGACGCGCUCGUCAGGUUUCUAAGGGACAACGUGAGCGUUUUCGCAUGGAAACCCGCAGACAUGCCCGGUGUCCCACGAAACCUGAUCGAGCACUCCUUAAAUGUCUCGAAGACCGCAAGACCAAUCAAGCAAAAACUGCGACGGUUCGCUCGUGACAAAAAGGAGGCUAUUAGGACAGAAAUAACACGGCUUCUAGCAGCCGGAUUCAUAAAAGAAGUGUAUCACCCCGAUUGGCUCGCCAAUCCGGUUCUUGUACGCAAAAAGAGUAAUGAAUGGAGAAUGUGCGUUGAUUACACCGAUCUCAACAAACACUGUCCUAAAGAUCCUUUUGGUCUUCCUCGCAUCGACGAGGUGGUCGACUCAACGGCCGGAUGCGAACUCCUCUCCUUUCUAGAUUGCUACUCUGGUUAUCACCAGAUCUCGCUAAAGGAAGAAGAUCAGAUCAAAACAUCCUUCAUCACACCCUUCGGCGCAUACUGCUACACUACCAUGUCUUUCGGACUUAAAAACGCCGGGGCCACUUAUCAAAGGGCCAUCCAGCAAUGCCUCCACGACGAGAUUCGCGAUGACCUCGUCGAGGCCUAUGUGGACGACGUGGUCGUAAAAACAAGGGACGCGAGCACCCUAAUCGACAACUUAGACCGAACCUUCAAGGCACUCAAUAGGUACAAGUGGAAGCUCAACCCCAAGAAAUGCAUUUUCGGCGUUCCUUCCGGUCUACUGCUCGGCAACGUCGUCAGUCGCGACGGCAUACGACCAAACCCUUCAAAAGUCAAAGCCGUACUCGACAUGCGACCACCGAAAAACGUCAAGGAUAUUCAGAAGCUAACCGGAUGCAUGGCCGCCCUCAGUCGUUUCAUCUCAAGGCUGGGAGAAAAAGGCCUCCCUUUCUUCAAACUAUUGAAAGCGUCAGAAAAAUUUUCUUGGACAGAGGAAGCCGACGCUGCGUUCACUCAGCUUAAGACCUUCCUCACUUCACCACCUGUCCUCACAGCGCCUCAGCCCAAUGAAGACCUACUCCUUUACAUUGCUGCAACCGACAGGGUUGUUUCCACGGCAAUAGUGGUCGAGCGAGAUGAACCAGGUCACGUCUUCAAGGUCCAGAGACCCGUUUACUUCAUAAGCGAAGUCUUAAACGAGUCCAAGGCCAGGUACCCACAAAUACAGAAGCUUAUAUACGCCAUCCUGAUAACGUCAAGAAAGCUGAAGCACUACUUCGACGGCCAUCGAGUCCUGGUGACAACCAGCUUUCCUCUCGGGGACAUCCUGCGCAAUAAAGACGCCAAUGGCAGAAUCGUGAAAUGGGCAAUGGAAUUAUGUCCAUUUUCCCUGGAGUUCCAGAGUCGCACUACUGUCAAGUCUCAAGCCCUGGUCGAUUUCAUUGCCGAAUGGACGGAUCUCAACGAGCCUUCCGUUCCCGAUGUCUCAGACCACUGGUCAAUGUUCUUUGACGGGUCCUUGAACAUCAACGGUGCAGGCGCUGGGAUAUUGUUCGUAUCACCCAACAAGGACAAACUCCGUUACGUCCUUCGGAUCCUUUUUCCGGCGUCAAACAACGUCGCCGAAUACGAAGCAUGCUUGCAUGGCAUACGACUAGCCGUUGAACUGGGGGUCAAGCGCCUCUAUGUCUACGGCGACUCCGCUUUGGUCAUCAACCAGCUCAACAAGGAGUGGGACGCAACCCACGAGAAGAUGGAUCUCUACUGCAAAGAAAUUCGCAAAUGGGAAACUAACUUCUAUGGCAUAGAGUACAUCCACGUGGUCCGGGAUAAGAACCAAGCAGCAGAUGCGCUGUCAAAGUUAGGCUCAUCUCGGGCCCAAAUCCCGCGGGGUAUUUUCGUCCAAGACAUCCAUGAGCCGAGCGUAAGCUCCCCCCUGGUCGACAAGCAACCCACCGAGGCAAUGCUCAUAGAUGACGCCACUCCGACAACCGGUGGACGUGACUGGCGUACCCCGUUCAUCAAAUACAUAUCAGACGGGACAGGCUUUCAGGACAAAGCAGAGAACGAGCGCCUCAUCCGACGAUCAAAGAACUACAUCCUGGUCGACGGAAAACUCAUGCGAAAAAACGCAAGCUCCGAAGUACUGCUCAAGUGCAUACCCCAAGAUGAUGGUAUCAAGCUCUUGGAGGACAUACACGCUGGAUCCUGCGGCAAUCACGCCGCAUCUAGAACGCUGGUCGGAAAGGCUUUCCGAGCAGGUUUUUAUUGGCCAACCGCGGUCGGCGACGCAGAAAAACUGGUUCGGCAUUGCGAAGGAUGUCAGUUUUUCGCUAAGAGGACCCACGUACCUGCCCAUGAAAUUCAAACCAUCCCGUCGUCUUGGCCCUUUGCUUGCUGGGGGCUUGACAUGAUCGGACCAUUUAAACCAGCCCCGGGCAAUUUCAAGUUUGUCUUCGUGUUAAUCGACAAGUUCUCCAAGUGGAUUGAAUACAUGCCCCUGGUCAAGGCAACCUCCGAGAAGGCUGUGGAGUUCCUCAAUCAAAUCAUACACAGAUUCGGCAUCCCGAACAGCAUAAUCACCGACCUGGGCACUCAGUUUACUGGCACCACUUUUUGGGAUUUCUGCGAUGACAGAGGCAUAGUCAUAAAAUAUGUGUCAGUGGCACACCCACGUGCCAACGGUCAAGUCGAACGUGCUAACGGAAUGAUCGUUGACGCCCUAAAGAAAAGGCUGUACACCGAAAACGACAGAGCACCCGGUCGAUGGAUGAAAGAAUUGCCGGCAGUGGUCUGGGGCCUCCGAACCCAGACCAGUCGAAACACAGGGGUGUCUCCCUACUUCAUGGUGUACGGUGCAGAGGCGGUCCUGCCGUCUGACAUACACUUCGGAUCUCCUAGAAUCGAGCACUUCGACCAGGCGACCGCCGACAACGCCAGAGAACUCGAAAUCAAUUGCAUGGAGGAAAAGCGUUUAGUUUCAUGUCUCCGAACAGCAAAAUAUCUCGCGGCAGUCAGGCGGUACUACAACAGGAACGUCAAGGACCGUUCCUUCGCGGUCGGCGAUCUGGUGCUUCGAUGGAAAACAAGCCAGGAGGGAAUGCACAAGCUAUCCACUCCCUGGGAAGGACCCUUCGUGGUGACCGAGGUCACACGACCUACGUCCUUCAGAUUGGCAUACCCAGACGGAACACGGGUGCCUAACUCUUGGCACAUCGACAAACUGCGACGUUUCUAUCCAUAAAGUUUUAAUGACUUUCUUUUGUAAGUAUCUUAUAAUUUUUGAUAAUGAAAUUCUCUAUUUUUUGCCUAUACCUUGUCACACACAGCACUCGGCAAAACUCCUGCAAUGGAUGCUCUUAGCGACAACCAAGACAAAUACGGUGACACGUCACUCAGAUAUUUUUACAGCGCUCAAAACAACAGUCAUGACAAAAAGUAAACUUUAUUACAAACUUUACAUACAAAGUUUACAAUAAAUACCCUGACGGGCAGACACUAGUCUAUUCCUACAGACUACUUUAUUGGCCUAGCUGCUCGGGCUGAUCACCCGCCUGGCCCUGCUGCCCGGACGAAGGGGUCGGGGCCACCAGCGCCUGGCUGGUCGAGACCGCAGGCGUCGACCGCCCAUCUCCCGCAACGGACGCGCCCGACAACUCCCUGGCCGACCUAUCUGCACUCGGCUGGUCUGGAGGAGUGGCCGUUCCGCACAGAUUGAUGUCGCCGAUCACUGUCGACGACAAGUCCAGCAGACUACCCCGAAGCUCGUCCGCGUCCUGCGGGCCGACUUCCUUCGGGUACCCCUUCUCCAGCCUGCUCAAGUCGACCAGGGGGUAGUGGGCGCGCACCAUGCUGAGGACGUGCGCGCCGGCAAACUCCCCGGCGUCCUUCACAAACUGCUGGAGCCAGUCCCACGCCCGUUGCGCCUUCUCGACCGGGGUCAACUGCGGCGCGCGGGGCUGGCUCUCCGGGAGCUCGGGACUGAUCAGGUCUAGGACCGGGGACACUCCUUUCCAGAUCCUGCAACAGUUGACCUUCCAGGAGUCCCGGUCCUUGGUCAGAUCGUCCAGGUGCUUUUUGGCGUUCACCUUGAGCACUGCAAACGAAACGAAGCGUUAUUUUCGGCAUAAAAAAGGGGCAGGCAGUAACCAACAAGGCGGCAACCAUUACCAGAUAGCUCCCGGUCUUUUCGACCCAAUUCCUCUCCUGCUCGCCGCCCGGACUCCAGCGCACCGGCGAGCUGUUGGCUGAGCUGCUCCUUCUCUUGUCGGAGGCUCGCCACCUCCUCCUCCAAGUCUGCGUGAAUCCUAAGCUGGUCAGCAAAGCAAACUAUACAAGUACGCGAAGCUGCUCGGAGCGUGUGACUAACCUUCUUGCAGCCGGUACUGGUCGGCCAAACGACGAGCGAGGUCGAGACGACGCUCCUUUUCGGCACUCAUCUCGACCACCUUCUCCCCGACCUCCGCCCGCAACCGGUCUACCUCCGCGGCAAGGGCCUUGUUCUCGGCCAUGACGCCUUCUAUCUGGUCAAAGCACCGUUUCCGGUACUUCGCCGUUUUCAUUGCGUCCUGCAAAGCAAGCAUAUAACGACCAUGCAAGACAAGGCAAAAGAAUGUGCAGCAGUACAAAAAGCCGCUUACCUUGACUUCGUCGACGAGGCGCUUGGCCGCGCGCUCCACCCUGGCGGCCUCUUCGGUCUCGGCGAGCUCCUCAUGCCCGAUAAAGUGAUCCCCGCGUUGGCGCCACACAUACACGUGUUGGCGGCCAUCACGGGGACGACCCUCGAUCUCUUCCACCUCAUCAUCGGAGGCCGCCCGGGUUUCCUCCUCCUGUGCUGCGUCACCCCCGGUGGUGGUCCCAGGUAUUACUGGCCCUUGGACCAGACCUGGGGAGCCCGCAGCCGAAGAGGCUCCUGCUCGGGGCGGUGUGGGGACUUCACUCCUCCCGGCAGGAGGAGCGGUCGAAGAUCUCCCCUUCUCUGAGGAGUCAGUUGGGGGAGCCUCUCCAGCCCUGGUCGGGCUGCUUGUCGUAGUCGGUGCCGCGCUCGGGAGCUCCUCGGUGCUCCCAGGCGCGACUGCAGCUGUUGCCUGCUCUGUGGUCUGGGGGGCCGCAUCCCCAGAACCGCGGGCAGGCUCGCCCGUUCCCUGGCCGGCAGUUUGGCCGGGGUCGACAUCCGAUGCCGUACUACAGGAACAAAAGUUAAAAAAAAAAGUCAAAGAGGAGUUCAAAAUACGUAAGUCGAACACUUACAGGUCUGACCGACGGUGGGUCGCGGUGAACCUCCUCCUCGCCCGGCCGGUCGGCACCUGCGCCCCCGUCUCGACAACUUGCGGUGCAGGGGCGCCGCUGGCCACUCGAUCAGUAGCGGCCGGCGCAUUAUCUGGGCGACCCCGGGGCCGUCGGACCAACGACGGCGCAGCCUCCUCGUCGUCGUCGUCGUCGUCAACGAUCCGCACGAGCCGACGACGCUUCGGUGCUUGGCUGCUCUCUGCCGGAAGAUCCGCCGGCAGCUCCGGUGUCGGCAAAGGAUCUGCCGGCAAUGGCCUCUUCCCCGCUACCCUCUCCUCGGAGGUCGGGACGAGGCGGGCUUGGUCUUCCUCACUGCUGGUGUAAUGAGUACACCGAGCAGCGUCUUCCUCUGGCGGGACCUCUCCCGCAGGAUUUUCCAUCCCCGGUGCCAGUGAUACAUACACUGUGCACCGGUCAGCAUCGCCGAUCUGCAAAAGCAACAGAGAUGAGUCAACUGCAGACGAUAUACAAAUGCUAAAACAGAAUCUGCUACAUACCUUUGGUGCUGGUCGUCCUAACUUGAAGGCUUGCACCCGAUCACUGCCACGGAUGAAGCCCCCAUCCGCGAAGUUAAACAGCUCGUUCAACAGCUGUUGUACCUCCACUUUCUCCAAGAUCUCCGACCGCAUCCUAGUCGGGUCUGCGCUUCCGGCAUACUCGUACGCCGAGUGCACCCUCUUCUGGCAGGGCAUCACCCGGCGGCAAAUGAAGUUGCCGACCACGCCAAGCCCGUCCAGGCGCGACCAGUCGAUCAGCUUCAUGAGAUCCGCCACUGGACCGUCGAACUCCGGGCGGUCGGUCCAGCUUGUCCUCUUCUCAGGAAUGUAUCCCACGUCGCAGAACGUGGAGCUGCCCGGUUCCUCCCUGAUGUAGAACCACUUCCUGUACCAUUCGGUCAAGGAAGUGUUCCAUGGGCAGUGCAGGUAGCGAUUCUUCAUUCCAUCACGAAGGUUGAGGUAUACUCCACCUGCAACCUUGGAGCCUCCAACUGCUCCCUUCUUCCUCAAGCAGAAAAGAUACCGGAAAAGAUCGAAGUGCGGCUCUAUGCCAACAUAGGCCUCGCACAGGUGGAUAAAGGUGGAAAUGAGGAGAAUUGAGUUCGGGUGCAGAUUGCAAAUCCCGAUCUCAUAAUACAAAAGAAGACCUUGAAGAAAAGGAUGAACAGGAACACCAAAACCCCUCUUAAUGAAAUCUUCAAAUACGACGAUCUCACCGGCGCGAGGGUCGGGGUAGCUCUCCCCCUCCGGUGCCCUCCAGCCGCCGAGCUCCGGGCCGUGCAGAAGCCCCAUAUCGACGAGGUCACCAAGGGAUUUUGUGGUGCUGCGAGACUUCUUCCACUCCUUGGCCAUCAGUUCGGCCCUCUUCCUGGAGUCGCUCUUCGCCAUUAGAGGUGCGAAUGUGGGCUUGAGUUAGGAAGAUGCAGGAGAUUGGAGAAGAUGAGAGCGGAAGGUUUGAAGGCAAUGGCAGCGAAAGCGGUACAGGCGGACCUAUUAGGCUCUUAUAAGCCCGCAACUCCACCUCUCCCACUUCCUGUAUUCUCGGGAAGUGGGCAGGCCAUGCGGCGGACGCGGCGUUUCGGUUUACAAUGAUUAUAGACAAUUAAUGCGGCGGAGUUUUCGUACCAAUUGAUGGUUUCCUUUUCUCAAACCAUGCAAAGGGCGGCUGUACAGUUGUCAGGUGCAACUUUUCAUGCAUCCGUCUGACACCCCGUCAGGAGGCCUCGUCACGUCAACUUUAACUGGAAAGAUCUUUUCAAAAAUAAGAAGACACAUACGCCAGUGAGUCAACAAUCCGGGGACUGCACCGACCACCGAGCACUCGACGCUCGGGGACUGGUCGCCCAGUCUAUCAGCUCGGAACUUCAAGGACUGCACCGACCACCGAGCACUCGACGCUCGGGGACUGGUCGCCCAGUCUAUCAGCUCGGAACUUCAAGGACUGCACCGACCACCGAGCACUCGACGCUUGGGGACUGGUCGCCCAGUCUAUCAGCUCAAAGCUUUAAAGCAUGCACCGACCACCGAGCACUCGACGCUCGGGGACUGGUCGAACGGUAUAGCAACAUAUAAUUCCAAAGAGCACACUUAGUGCUUGGGGACUGGUCGAUUGGUCUUUUCAUUUGCAGACGAGCACGACAUGCUCGGGGACUGGUAAAUUCACUUUUGACCUUGCUACAAGGCUCAUACUUCGCCUUCCAGCAAGCUCGGGGACUACAUCGGUACGAUGCAUCUAGCGAUGCAUCUCAGUCUCAAAACUACUUUGGGGAAUUUUCUUUUGACCCUGGCACCACGUGCCUACGUCACCUACUACCAGGCUCGGGGACUAAGUGGGCACACUUCACCUAGCGGUGAAUUUGCUUGCUUUUUUGAUGUUUAUACCUUUCAAAAAGGUAAAGUGGGCACACUUCAUCAGGAAAGAAAUUUUUUUUAAGAGCACCAUGCAUUCUUCGAACAACCUGCUUCUUCGAUGUCAAUGUUGAUCAACUGUCUUUUGAGUUGGUCAAAAUACCGUUGCAACUGUUCGGACGACUUUCCUGCUUAUUGAAGACGUCAAGCCACACUGAUCGAAGAAGCUCAAGACGGCGUGUUACAUCACAAUACAUGGUGCUCGGGGACUAGCUGUGGGGGUAUAAACCCCUAUACCCUUACGGCUAGACUUCGGCCAGGAAGCUUGGCCCAGUACGAGACGAGUUCAAGGCUUGAUCCGACAACCUGGAGUUUCGCGCAAGGAAACAAGAUGGGGAGAUCAAGCAGGAUUCUAGUCGGUUAGAAUAGGAAUUGAUAUCGAAUUAUCCAUGACAAUUGUAACCGACUAGGAUUAGUUUCCAGAUCUGUAACCCUGCCCUCCGGACUAUAUAAGGAGGGGCAAGGGACCCCCCUAGGACAUCAUAUUCUCUCAGCACAAAUCAAUACAACCAGACGCAGGACGUAGGUAUUACGCCAACUCGGCGGCCGAACCUGGAUAAAAAGCUUGUCCGUGUCUUGCGUCACCAUCGAGUUCGUAGUUUGCGCACCGUCUACCGAUAAACUACUACCGAGGGUAUACCCCAAGGUAGACUGCCGACUAGCUUUCGUCGACACCAGCGUUUCUUCUCUUUGGCAAACAAACUUUGACACAAUCAGCACUGUACUCACCCCGGCCUCCAGGAAGAGACCUGCCCAAUAACCCAUGAGCGAGCAAGCAUAGCAUACAAUUGAAGCAAGGUUAUUCAUUGUUUUUUCUUCAAAACAGAUAGAGUUGCAUGUUUUCCAAAUGGCCCAACAAAUAGCUGUGAUGCCCAAGGUGUGAAAUUGCUUUCGAGUUGGGAUCCAACACUCAGACCAAUUCCAACACUAGUAAAAAGAUUUAGGGAUGCUAUUAGCACCAAUUGCAUAAGCGACAAUAGCCUAUACCGCUUUGGCUGUGGAACAUUGGAAAAACAAAUGUUUGUUCUCAUCAGUGUUACAAAAAUAACAAGUAGGGUAACAAAACAUCUUAAUUUGAUCAAGUUGUCUUUUGUGAGAAUAGCAUUAUUCAUAACAAGGCAUAGGUAACUUUUGAUUUUGGAGGGAAUUUUCCCCUUCUAGAUUCUUCUAUGAUAAGGCCCAAUACCACUAGUUACCACGGCUCUAUAAGUAGAUUUGACACUAAAUCGUCCAUUAUUACCAAAUUUCCAAAUCAUAGAAUCCUCUCCACGUGCAAUCAAUCUGCCUCAAGAUAUUUAGCCAACAAAGCCUAAGGUCAUCAAUAAGCUAUCUAGUGAAAGUCACAUUACUAGAAUCAAAAUUUACAUGAUGAACCCAAAUAUUAGGUUGUUCACACAUUUUGAAAAGAUCAGGGAAUAGAUGGCUCAAAGCUUUAUCAUAAAACCAAGCAUCGUUUCUGAAAAGAGUUUUCCUUCCAUCCCUUACUUUUACUUGUCUACCUUGGAGAUAGACAUCCAUGAUUCUUAAUAGAUCAACCCACAUGGCAGUCAGGUUGCCUGUGAUUCAUAGUACAAAAAGAUUUACCAUUUAAAUACUUAUACUAAAUGAUUUGCUGACCCAUUUCCCCUCUCCAAUUUCCACCACCAUUCAUCUUUCUAAUAUUUUUUAUCCCCAGGCCUCCUUUUUUUCUUAUGCUUACAGAUUUAACUCAUUUAACAAGAUGAUAUUUCAUUUUUGUGCCUCCUCCUUGCUAGUCCAGCUUAUCAAUGAUGGUUUUAGGAAGAAGGUAAAUAGACAUAUGAUAGAUUGAGGCAUUAUUUAGACUAGAAUUGGUCAGAGUUGAUCUACCAGCUAUUGACAUGGAACCCCCUUCCCAUACAUCAAGUCUCUUGGCACUUUUCUAUUCUUUUAUAUUGACUUCUAUGGAUCCUUUUAUUGAAUAUUUUUUGGAGCUGCAAUUUCAAAUCGGCCAAUAUAAAGUUUUAGAUCCCGUCAAACACUAUAAUAUUGGUAUAGAGUAUGUAUUACCAAGUUCGUUUGAAAAAUUCAAGGACAUGAAUUUAAAAAAUCUAUAAACUGAAAAAGUUAUAUUUGAAUCUGAUCUCAAAUAACAAAGGUUAUUGGCUAGAAAGCUUAUCGAGCUUUACAAUCUGAUGACAAAACUUGUCUUUUUCUGAUUUUAUUUGAAAAAAUUAUAAAUCUAUUUUUGUACAACGACUCUCUUUAGAGACAUAUGCCACCAUGCUAAUAACAUCUAUAAGUCGAUUUGUAUACACCAACCCUCUUUAGAAGCUAGUACCUCCAUUUUCAAGGACAAUCGGCGUUACCAACCAUCCCUAGGACUGAUUACAAUCCAGAGCAUCCUUCACCAAACGUUUGUAAAUUGCCUCAAAACUAAGAAAAGAAAAAUACUGUUUGUCUGGGGCUCUGGGCUAUCCAGGGCGCUGCAUUCAUUUGUACUAGCAGAAAUGGAAUAUAUAUAUAUAUAUAUAUAUAUAUAUAGAGGUAAAUUACUUUUUACACGCACGAGUAUCUACUCCGACGUAGCUACACGCGUGAAUUCUUCCCUCUCGCACGGAGCAGGAGCGGGAUUUCAUACCGGAUCAACCCGUUAGUCGUGGUACCUCUCUAUUAUUUUGGGCAGACCCGUGGAAGAAACCAUUUUAAUUUCCUGUUUCUUUUUUAUGCGUCGUCCAGCAGCCUCCCAUCCAUGGAUCCACCGGCGGCGGCGCAAACCUCCUUCCCACCGGCGUCGGCGAGCCUCGCCCUCAACAGCCGCGGCGGGCCUCGCCCCACCCCCAUCGGCGGCAGCACGGUCAGGUCAGCGCGCUCGGUGGCCCUCCUCCUCUAGCAGAUCCAGUCGCGAGCGGCUCGCCUCGUGCCGUCGUGCGGAUGCGACUCGUCUGUGGUGCGGCUCCACCGCAAGCCAACGACGGCAGUUGCCUCUUUCCCUAGCGGAUCCACCGCACAAGGCUCGUCCUCUUCAUCAACUAUGGCGUCAGGGCUCCAUCCCACCACUGAUGGCGGCUCCGGCAUCAGCGGGCAGGCAGCCUUUGGCUGGCGGCAUGGCCAUCGGCGACUGGGGACAGAUCAGGUGGUGCUGACCCUCUUCCCUGAUCAAUGGUGGCCUUCCUUCCUCUGGCUACUACAGCGACCCUUCCUAUGCCAUGGUCUUUUUGAUGCAGGUGCCUUCCUAUGCUAUCGUGUGGCUGCAGCAAGUAUGAAUAUGCACCUCAUCUAACAUAUACUGUGUUUUGUUUUUCUUCAUGCGUUAUGUUUUUGUUUUUGCCUUUUGGAUGCCGAGCGUAGAGAUGGAUCGAUGUUCCACAAUCAUAGUUCAUGCCCACAAAUUUUAAUGUUUUCUGCUGCCUAUAUAUAUCUCGACUUUCUCAUGAAAUUGAAUCUAGCUGCAGAGAGCCAGAGAUGGAGCAGCAAAGGUUUCUGUGCAGUUUAUUUUUUAUUUUUAAGCUUCUUGAGCCAGCAACAUAUGUAUUCGUAUCAAAGUAAACAUGUAUGUACUCAUACUCCAUAUAACCAUGUAUAUAGUUUCAUACUCACAAAGAUGUAUAUACUCAUACUCCCACUGUAUAUGUAUAUGUAUAUGCUCAUAUUCCUUUUGUCUAAUUUGAUGCUUCUAUGUUGACGGAAAUACACAUCAAAGAAAUUUAGCAUGCAGGCAUAUAUGGUGGGUGUCCUCGCUAAUCUCAUGUCAUAGUAUCAGUUACUGUAUGUAUUUAUGUAGUUCAUUUACAGGUCUUGCAAGUUUGGAAUGAUGUAAUGUCAUAUUCUUAUACUCGUUUGCAUAUAUCCAUACUCAAGUUGUUCUCUGCCCACACGUAUGUAUCCAUACUCACAAUAAACAUGUAUGUACUCAUACUCCAUAUAAACAAGUAUGAUUUUCAUACUCAUAAACAAGUAUGAUUUUCAUACUCAUAAACAAGUAUGUUCUGCAUGGCGUAUGUACUAAUACUCUGCCAAAAAAAGUUCUCCACAAACGUACCAAUUUUUGUCCUCGAAAAAAUUAUCUGUGAAAAUACAUACUCUAUAAGAUAAACAUUAAAGUAAUCCUCUGUAUAUGGACAUACUCGAAAUACAAGUGUGCGUCCAUACUCUAUUAAAGUAUACUCAUUUUUUCUUAUUAAAGUAUGCGUUCAUAUUAGAGUAUACUCAAUUUUCUUAUUAAAGUAUGCGUUCAUACUUUACUUGCAGAAAAGAACGUCUGUGAACAAUUGAAUCGCUUUCUUCGUAAUACUUAUCCGGCUAGGCGCUCCCCUAAUUAUUUAUUAAAUAAUAAUAAUAAUAUUCACGUACAACCUGUAUACAUGCAGUUCGCGUAGAUCUUGGAUACCAUAUACAUACUCGUGCUUCGAACCCGUUAGAUCGCUAAUGGGCCGCACCACCCGACGCCAGCUACGUCUGCGGGAUGGCUCGACCCUCCGAUGCGUAUAAUAAAGGCUCAGAGUAGUUACUGGUACGUGUAGAAAAAAAGUGUCAUAUAUAUAUAUAUAUAUAUAUAUAUAUAUAUAAAUUUUCUCUACUUCUUAGGAGUAGUUACUCUCUCUUCUAAAACACAGUAUUAGAUGCCGCACUCCCCUAUCGGGUCACAAAGUCGAACCCGGUAAGUCACAUAUACGUGGACAAACUAUACUCCGGUUAUUCAGUCAUCGAGGAAGCUAAAUCACGUAUACAACGGUGGACAAACUGUUCUCCGGUAUUUCAGCCAUCGAAGAAUUGUUGUUUAAUCAUUAUUAUCCAUUUUCCUUUUCUAGAUUAGAGUAUCAUCUUAUAUGCGUUAAACUAUUUCUACUAGUACAUAGCCAUACACGUAUUGGGAGUUGAUGUGUAUGCAAGUACGCUCAUUGUCUACUAGUACGUAUAAAGAAAGAUGGCCAUACACAUACUCCUAUUGGUACAUGGACGUACGUAACAUAAUUGUACAGGUAUGCAUGCAUACUUCUAUACAUUUAGGUAUAUGGACAUACUUCCUAAUAAAAUACUAUGUACACAUACUCUCCUGUGAAAAAAGUAUAUACAUAUACUCUGAGUAUAAAUACAUACAUGCUUCUAAUUAAUAGUAUAAAUACAUACUCUAAUUAGCGGGCAUACUCCUGAAAUAUGCGUAUGUGAGCAUACUGUGAGUGUGCAUAUGUGAACAUGUAUUUGAACAAAAAAAGGUAUGUCUAUAUACUCUGAAAGUGUGCGUAUGUGAUCAUACUUUAAUUAAUAUACUUAAUAAGUAAUAAUGUAUGUAUAUAUAUAUAUAUAUAUAUAUAUAUAUAUAUAUAUAUAUAUAUAUAUAUAUAUAUAUAUAUAUAUAUAUAUAUAUAUAUAUAUAUAUAUAUAUAUAUUCCUUUGUACACGUACGUGUAGUUACUCUCAUCUUCAAUAAACUACAUUGUGUAUGUAUUCAUACUUUUUUAUCAGUUUGAGUAUGUUUGUAUACUUAUAUUAAGAUACUUUAGAUCUUACCACGCGAAAUUUUUUUAAAAAAAAUUAUAUUUUAAAUAUAUUACUAAAAUGCCACUACUAUAUUAUAUACAAUAAGUAUAUCCAUAUACUCUAUGUAUGUAUACGUUAUAUAUAUAUAUAUAUAAACGUACGGCCCUAUAUUGGCCGUAUCGAGUAAUUACUCAACGCUUCUCCUAAUUGGCCGUAUCGAGUAAUUACUCGUAUAAAAAACUCACCAUAUAUAUAUAUAUAUAUAUAUAUAUAUAUACUACAUAAACGUACGGCCCUUUUUUUUUAAAAAAAAAAAUAUCCAACCGAUCAACCUGCUUGAUCCGCUUUCUAUGGUCAGCAUGCAUCACCCGUUUUUUUUCUCUCACCCGCUAGCUACUCAACGCUUCUCCUAAUUGGCCGUAUCGAGUAAUUACUCGUAUAAAAAACUUAUAUAUAUAUAUAUAUAUAUAUAUAUAUAAGUCAAAAGUGAGCAGAAAAAAUACUGAGCAAUACUAAACAACAUUCAGUAUCAUCUAGUCGUACACCUAGGACCGCGAAAUACUGAAACACGAGUACUUAACAAUACUGAAUUUUGUUCAGUAUAACAUUUUGGUGUAGAAUAGCACUUGUGUGUAUAUAUAUAUAUAUAUAAUAAUAAUAAAGCACAAUUAUUUAUCUUCCUUUUGCACUAUGUAACAAUCUUGGGUCAAUGGAACCAUGAAUGCAUUCCUCCCGUCUCGUCUUUCAUGCCUCGUCGGAUCGGGGAAUCAGGUCAUGUCCUAUUCUGCGUCCGCCAACACCUUUUUCCUUGCAUCUGCACUGCACUGCACUGCUACGUACAGCGUGUGCUAUAAGCAGCAGAGGGAGUUUCUUCGAAAUUCUAUGUUCUGAUAAAAUGUGUCUCACAAAGUUGUAGGGCAGUAUAUCAGAUGCCCCGAUGCGCUCAUUAUUGGGAGUGUGUGUGAUCUGAAAGUAGGCUCUAGAAACAUCAGUGGAAAGAGCCAAAGAUUAGCAUAGACAAUUAUAUUCUUUCCGCACAAAGAAACAUCAUAUAUUAUACACAUACGUGGAAAGAAAUAUGAAAUUUAUUUUGGUUCCAAACUAGAACUUGUUUGGCUACAUUCAAAUAUACCCCGAUUUUACAUAGUUUGGGAGGAACUGAAUUGUUAUGAGUUAAACUCAUUAUGUUCAAGUAAAAAUAAAAAAAUGUUUGGUUCAACCUACUCCCCAGUUCCAAAAUAGGGCCUUGUUUACUUCCCAGAAAAUUUUGCAAAAUUUUUCAGAUUCCCCGUCACAUCGAAUCUUUAGACGUAUGCAUGGAGUAUUAAAUAUAGACGAAAAUAAAAAUUAAUUGCACAUUUUGGUCGGAAUUGACGAGACGAAUCUUUUGAGCCUAGUUAGUCUAUAAUUAGACAAUAUUUGUCAAAUACAAACGAAAGUGCUACAGUGUUCAUUUUACAAAAAAUUUUAGAACUAAACAAGGUCUUGGUGACAUUGCUUCCCGUAGAGUCAAACUCUUUUAACUUGACCAAAUAUACUACAUAAUUAAUAUCAUUUUUCAUAAUAAACUUAUUUGAAGAUAUAAGUGUUGCUAAUAUUUUUUAUAAAUCUAAUUAAAUUUUAAAAAAGUUUGACUGAUAUGAAUACCAUAACAACACUUAGUUUGAGACGGAGAAAGUACACACUAGUCAGUACACAUCACCAUCACCGCCAACUCAACAUUGGUCUCGAGUGUUUAUUUGAGCCAUAUAUGUAAGCUUCCCCAUAGAGAUUUUUUGGAGCUAUGUACAAAAAAAAAUGUAAUAUGUACCAUUCAUCGACAGAGAUGGAACGAUGAAAAAAAAAAUCAAAAGCACUAAGAAAAAGAUAAAACUAAAAGUGGCUAAAGUAUUGAUAGCACUUUUCAACCACCGUAACAAAGACUAAUAGUGCCAUGUGGAUACAUCCUUAUUCCAUAAUUUUUUUGGUUGAUGAGCUAUAUGAACUCUGGCCAUUCCGAUCGUCAGAAGGACUAGGGAAUUUUUAAAAUCCUUAUGCAUCCUACAUAUAGGAUAUGCAUAGUAAUUUGAUUUAUUAAAAUGUGCUCGACUAGGUGGCAGCCUCUUGUGCGUGGCCUAGUGCCGCGGCCGCAUCCGAUCCGCCGAGUACCGGCAAAUCUGCGUGGGCCAGGCCAAUAAUGCGAGGCCCUAGCUACCGGCGUGUUACAUGCAUAUUGCACUGAUCAUGACUGAUUUGGUCUGUACUAGCAGGCAGCUCAGGCCUUCUUUAGUAGUUCCAAAAAAUUUUGUAAAAUUUUUCAGAUUUCCCGUAACACCGAAUUUUUAGACAUAUAAAUGAUAUAUUAAAUAUAGAUAAAAAAAUUAAUUGCGCAGUUUGGUUGGAAUUAACGAGACAAAUCUUUUGAGCCUAGUUAGUCCAUGAUUGGAUAAUAUUUGUCAAAUACAAACGAAAAUGCUACAGUAUCGAUUUUCUAAAAUCUUUUAGAACUAAACAAGGCCUCACCCAAAAGCCAAAAUGUUUUUAAGAUUUUUUGUUAAAUUGAAUGUUACAGUACAUAUAUGAAGCAUUAAAUAUAAACGAAAAUAAAAAAUAAUUAUAUAGUUUUCCUGUAAAUUGUGAUAUGAAUAUUUUAACCUUAGUUAGUCUAUCAUUGGAAAAUAUUUACUACAAAUAAACAAAAAUACUAUAGUAACAAAUAACUUUUCGUUUCGGACAACUGAACAAGACCUUAGUAGAGAGCACAGUAAUCAUGCGCUUUUUGACGUUCACUGUUUUGAGUUUCCUCUGCUUUUGAGAAAGCCGUAAAGGGGCUAUUUAGUUAAGCCGUGUUUAUAAGAUUCUCCGUCACAUCAAAUCUUGUAACACAUACAUGACGCAUUAAAUAUAGACGAAAAUAAAAACUAAUUACACAGUUUGCCUGUAAAUCGCGAGACGAAUCUUUUGAUAUUGGAUAAUAUUUGCCACAAACAAACGAAAGUGCUAUAGUAGCAAAAUCCAAAAUUUUUUCGGAUCUAAACAAGGCCUUAGUGAAAAAUUUUGUAAAGUGUAAACGUAGUAUUUUUGUUUCUAUUUGAUAAUUAUUAUUCAAUAUGAAUUAAGUAGACUUAAAAAAUUCGUCUCGUAAAUUACACGUGAAGUAUGCAAUUAAUUAUUUUUUAUCUAUAUUUAAUGUUCUAUAUAUGUGCCGUAAGAUUUGAUGUGAUCUAAAGUCUCGAAAAAAUUUGCAAAAUUUUUGGAACUAAACAGCCCAAAGUUAUCUGUCAAGGUACAGUGGGACACCAGCUUACGCGAAAAAUAUUACAGGUCUUAAUCAUACACUAUCCUGUCACAAUUACAUUCCACCAAAUAUCUGUAACAGGGCAGGUAGCUGGUUUGAAGCCUUUCAUCUAGUCGAAGACGAGAUCUCCUUGAUCUCAUCCACGCUUUCUUUCAACUUUGGCUUAAGUAGGAGAGACCACUUCUACAAAAAAUGGUAGAGUCGAAAACAUGACGUGAGAAGGGUUGUUCGGUAAAUUCUUCUGAAUUGCCAUCUUCUUUCUAGCACUUCUAAUUUAGGCCUUAUUUAGUUUGUAAAAAUUUUCAAGAUUCUCUGUCACAUCGAAUUUUUGGUCACAUGCAUGGAGCGUUAAAUAUAGACGAAAAUAAAAACUAACUGCACAGUUUAUCUGUAAUUUGUGAGUUGAAUCUUUUGAGUUUAGUUACUCCGUGAUUGGACAAUGUUUGUCAAAUAAAAACGAAAUACUAGAGUAGCCAAAAACAAAAAAUUUUGCGAACUAAACAGGACCUUAGGCCCUGUUUAGUUCUCCACCCAAAAAUUUUUCAUCCAUCCCAUCGAAUCUUUAGACACAUGCAUGGAACAUUAAAUGUAGAUAAAAAAAUAAACUAAUAACACAGUUUAGUUGAGAAUCGCGAGACGAAUCUUUUAAGCCUAGUUACUCCAUGAUUAGCCUUAAGUGCUACAGUAACCCACAUAUGCUAAUGAUAGAUUAAUUAUGCUUAAUAAAUUUGUCUUGCAGUUUCCUGACGAGCUAUGUAAUUUGUUUUUUUAUUAGUCUGUAAAAACCCCUCCCGACAUCCUUCCGACAUAUCCGAUGUGACAUCCAAAAAAUUUUCGUUCCCAAUCUAAACAGGCCCUUAGUACAAUCGCAGCUUGUAGUUGCCAUGAAAAGACUUUGGGCCUGUUCCCUUCUAAUUUAAGUGGGUUGUUUGGGCUGCCGGCUGCCGCUGAACAGCCCAGCUGUUCGGCUGCAUGCCUGCAGCAUGUCCCGCUCCGUGCAGCUUCUUUCCUCUUGCUAUCUGCUGCAGCUUCUACAAUGUUGAUGGGCCGGGGUAGCUCCUGCAGCUGCAGCCAGCUGCCAUUUGAUUUUUAUAGAAAUCCUACAUUUUCAAAUACAAUUCAAACUCCUGCGUUUGUCGCCCAAUCGGCCAUUCCUACAAUUGCCCUGUACUCCGAUCUUCUUGAAAGGCGGUGUGAAUUCUCAAGUCCUCGAUCCUCGUCCUAUUUCAUUCUCGGUAGUCAAUGUUUGGGUUCGAACAUCAUGCCUUCCAGUUAAUUAUUCCAUCAAUUCCUGCCAUGGAUUCCUUUCACUCUCUUUAGACCAAUUUGCAGCCACCGUCGACACUGGCCUAUCGAUAUUCUGUACAACAAAUCAGAAAUAAGGAUGUUUUUUUUGAGGAAACUGGAGAGACCGAGGCCUCUACAGAGAGUUUAUUAAAACUGAAAGAACAAGUCAAUAGAGUACAAGAAGAGAGAAAAACAGCAAAGAGGUGCAGGCACCCUACAACUCAGGAAACAAAAAAGAAAACAAAAAAAUCAGCUCUAAACAUCUUGGACUUCUAGACUUUGUAUCCAUGAAGAAAACUGUGGUAAAAUGGAUGGCUUCACUCUAUGCUGCAGAAGAGAUAGCUCCUUUAGGAAGAUCCUUCGACAAUUCAAAAUGCUUAUCCGAACCCCAUUGAAGAUUAACUCGUUUCUCACAUUUCAAAUUGCCCACGAACGCAGAAUGAUAGCAUCCAAGGCAAAUGGGGAGGCCAACUGAUCUUUUAUUUGAGCAAAGAUGUCUGAAUAGUACACUGAAGAGGAAUGAUCACAUUGAUGAGGUCCCAACACAUAGCUGUGAAUGGACAGUCCAGAAACAAGUGCUCAAGUGUUUCUUCUAUCAGGCUGUUGCAAAAGACACAAUUGUAAGAAUCAAGCUGUAAAUUGCUCCUUCUGAGAAAGUUUCUGGUGCUCAGUCUAUCCUUGAUGAGAAGACAAAAGAAAACUUUGUGUUUCGGCUAGCAAUUACUUUUCCAAAGCCAUUUGUAGACUGGAUGAAGCACCGAGUGGCCAACCAGUAGGCGAUAGACCUUUGAGGGAGCAAAAUGGUCAGAGCCCCAACUGUAAAUCCACUUAUCUUGUCAUUGCUCAGCACAAUGCUCUCCAUGAUCUGCUGAACAUUCUGCAACUGCAAGAAGGCCGUCUGAGAGAGGGGGAGCUGAAAUAGGGAGGAGAGUUCAUCUUGUUCAAAGGCCCUUUUCACUGAGAUCUGCUUAUUGAGAGCAAAAGAGAAAAGCUUAGGGGAUGAAUCAAGAAGGAGUUGCUCAUUAAGCCUGGGCAUUCGGAUUACCUGAUUUUUUCGGGUCGAGUAGUUCGGGUAAUUUAAAAUUUGGGUAACAAAAAUUGUUACCCGAUAUUAGUAAAAAAAACACUACCCGCAAUUUCAGGUACCCGAUAAUUCGGGUUCGUGUUGGGGUAUUCCCGAUUUACCCAAAUUUUCAGAAAACAACACACUAUACAAAAUUUCAAUAGAAAUUUAUAUAUAAUUUCAGCAACAAUUUGUAUAGAAUUUGAAUAGCAUUUUGUAGAGAAUAAUAUAUUACUAUCAGUUGUUCAAACAAAGAGAAUUAUGUUCUAAUAAAUUGAUAAGUUUUAAUAUUUAACUAAUAACACAUGAUAAAUACAAAGAUAUAGACAAAUAUUUGGGUAAUUUGGGUAGUUCGGGUACCGGGGGAUACUACCCGAAUUACCCUGGGUAAUCAAAAUUGCUAUCCGAAUUUAGGAUCGGGUACCUCGGGUUCGGGUAAUUCGGGUCCGGGUCCAGGUAAUUCGGGUACGAGUAAUGGAUAUUGGGUAAUUUGCCAGGCUUAUUGCUCAUGCCAAGCAUCAUGCCAGAAAAAAGAGGAAUCCCCAAAAUGCAAUUGUGGCUUAGAAAAGCUUUUAAAGGCUUGAAGAAGCAUUGGGUUAUCUCUCCACUAGAAAGACCCCUUUUUAUGUGAUUUGGCAAUUUUUCAUUUAUAUAAUGCUUUUCCAAGAUUAGCUCAACCCAAGGAACAUCAGCCCUGUUGAAGAAUUUAUGCAGAUUUUUUUGAGAGGAGGGCAUUUUUCUGCUUCUCAAUGUCAAUGACACCUAGGCCCCCCUCAUCCUUUGGGGGCACAAACCAUCUUCCAAGUAGCUUUAGGCAUUCUCUUAGGAUUAAUAUCUGAUACCCUCCAUAGACAGUGCUCCCUAAAUUUAUCAAUCUGCUUGAUGACCCCCUUGGGCAAUUUCAGGGUGCACAUGAAGAAAGUUGGGAGGGCUGAAAACACAGCAUUAGUCAUUUGGAGCCUCCCAGCAAGGUUCAGAAAGCUUGAAAUACGAAAGAGUCUCUUCUCACAUUUAUUUAUCACUGGCAGAAAGUCUUAGGCCUUGGGUCUCUCUAUAUUAAGGGGGAGCCCCAGAUUGGUGAAGGGCAGACUCCCCUUGGAGCAUCCAAAAGUAGCAGCUAGGGUGUCUAACUUUGCAUCAGAAAGGUUUAUAGGGACCAUCAUGGACUUGUUGAAGUUAACUUUCAGCCCAGUAAACGUGGAGAAGCUGUUGAUCAGAUAUUUCAUGAAGAACAAUUGCUUGACAUCCCCUUCCAUUACAAUCAAAGUGUCAUCAGCAUAUUGGAUGAUAGGAAAGUCACUGGUAGAAUUCAGUGAGGAUAGGCAGCCUGAGCAAACCCAUUUGUAAGGCCUUGUUGAUCAUGGAUUGGAGGAAAUCUGCUGCAGUUACAAAAAGAAGGAGAGGGUCCCCUUGCCUGACACCCCUCUUGCAGUGAAUAGUUUUACUAGGAACACCAUUUUAAAGUACAGUAGAGGUCCCUGAGGAGAAGAUAGAGUCCGUCCAUUGUAAUCAUUUUUCUCCAAAGCCCAUGGCCCUCAUGAUUGUAAUCAUAACAUGGUGUUCAAUCUUAUCAAAAGCCUUCUCAAAGUCCAGCUUAAUGAUCACAAUCUCCUUCUUAGAGUGGUGGCAGAGAUGCAGAUAUUCAAAUGCCCAGCCCAGACAGACCUGAAUAGUUCUAGACUUGAUGAAUCCAUACUGAUUCUUAUGAACCAGGGAGGUGAUAUGCUGCUGAAGCCUGAUGGCCAGAAUUUUGGUGAUGAGUUUUAAUGAAGAAUUGAGUAAGGAGAUUGGCCUGAACUCAUUGAUCAAACAAGCAUUGUCCACCUUAGGAUUAAGGGUAAUAAAUGAGGAUUUGAUGCUUCUAAGGCAGACAGAUCCAUCAAAGAAGUCAUUACAGAGCUUAUAGAAGUCAUGCCUGAUAAUUGGUCAACAUCUUUUCAUAAAUUCAUUGUUGAAGCCAUCUGGGCCUGAAGAUUUAUCAUUUGGAAGACUUUUAAUCACUGAUUGAUUUCUUUUUCAAGACGACAGAUCAAUAUUCUUGUGCACAAAGAUACUAGGAUCAACCACAAAGCUGUUCAAAUCUGAGGUACCCAAUCUGUCCUUGUAAUCUUCCCACAACAUCUUUUCUUACCAGAGUGAUCAUUGACAAUAGAUCCAUCGGUCUUCAGGAGUUCCCUGAUAAGAUUACCUCUGUGCCUAAUGGUUGCAUUGGCAUGAAAGAGGUAAAAAAAGUUUUCUAUCUAACAUAGAGAGCCUGUUUGGUUCACAGACAUACUCCACCACACCACAUCUGAGAUGGCGCCACCAAAAUGGGAGCAAUUGUUUGGUUGGCGACGCAUACAUGGCAACAUAAAAACUCGCUGAAGAAGCGUCGAGGAAUCUCAUCAUAAGGUGUGCGCCAAAAAACUUCGCUAAACUUGUGGCACACCCCACCUUUUUUUAAAAAAAAGGGCUGGACGGGCAGAAGCCCCUACAGAAAUUUAUUGAAAAAAAGAAAACAGUUGGUCCAAACAAACAACUAAACAACCAGACAACUAACUAAACGGUAGCUGGCAUCCAUACCUUCACUUGGCGAGCGGUAGCUGGCAUCCAUACACGCUCAUAUACUUAGCUCACAAAAUUCUGUACCAUGCUUGUGAUAGAAAUACAACAUACAACUUGUUGCGUGGUACCUAGACAAGUUGUGGUUCUAACAUUUAUACAAUGAUCGUGUCAUGCAUAUAUGUAUUGAUAUGUCUUGAAAUUGAACUCUGAUAAACGAAUUAUGUAAUCGAUAUUUGACUUGUAAACAAUCUAAAAUGGGAAAAAUUUUGACUACAAAGUGUUAAAUUUUAUCGAGCACUACAACUUUGAUAUAGGAGAUGUCUCCAUCUAAGGUAAAUUAAAAAAAUAAAAUUUAUAGUUCAAAAUCUAAGAACUUAAUAUUUACAUCCGGGCUCCUAAACAAUCUCGAAUAAAAAUUCAAUCAACUAUAAAGUUUUAGAUCUCAUAGAGCUCUUAAUUUUCGUAUAAAUUUUUGUCUCCAUCCAACUUCAUUUGAAAAAGUUUGUACUAUAACUAUUUUUAAGGGCAGGGGCAGUAUAUUUUUAUAGGUGGUUGGCAUAAGACUGAAAAUCAUAUGUUCAGAAGUGGCUCUCUUAAACAAACCAUCCAUAAAAAUAGAUGUAUUUCUAAUGACGAUUUACUUAAUAGAAACACCCCUAAAAAUGUAUUUCCAUGGGUGGUUUAUAAGCUACGGUGCUCAGUUAGUUAUAAACGGUUUGAUAAGUAAACUAUUCCAGUAGGAGGCAUCUUAAAAAAAAUCUUUUUUUACUAGUGUAUGCACUCAUUGGAAGUAUCAUUGGGGUCACUAGAGGCUUUCGGUGCCUUUCUAGACUAGCCAUUGGAACUAGCCGUUAGGUCGCCCUUUAUUUGGCAUCCAACAUCCAGUGCCACCGGAGAUUUUUGGUGAGCUUACAAUUUUUAACAAAAUAUCACUGAAAUUUCUGAAACAUAUUGUCUUUUUCUCAGAUUUUUCUUUAUCAGUGAGGUAUGGCAGCCCGUUGUAUUAUCGUGAUGAUAUGUUGUGUUAUUUUCUCAAUGUUAUAUAAAUUGUGAUGGAUUAAAGAAUUUUUCAAGUGAAGUGAUAUCAAUUUUUUUUAAAAAAAUUCAAUUCAAAUUUAUUUAAAUUUGACCUAAUAUUUUUUAAAUUUCAUGUUCACCUUGGUGAGCACUGAUGCUCUUGGAUUCACCUCUGUAAGCCCAUCGGAGAUGCUCUGUCGUCCUCCGGUGCACUUCAUUCACCGGACUUUUCCGGUGCCUUAUGCACGACUCUGCAUAUUCUCUGUUCUGCACCUAUUUCUUCGAUGCCUCUACUUCAACUCACUAGACAUUUCUGGUGAGAUCUUCCCUUCUCUAUAGAUUAGUCCUGCACGCGUAUUUUCUGCUGUGUUAGUCCUUGGGGACCACCGAAUAAUUCUGGUGAAGGCUGUCUGUAUUCAUUUUGAUCCUUCUCUUCAUCUCUUCACUUCCGGUCUUGUUCAACUUGGUGUUAUGGACAUGUAGCAUAUGUCAUGUAGGUUUUUAACGGCAGCCCUAAUGUGUUUGUUUGAGCCUUUGAGGUGUUGAUCGCUCCGAUCUUCAUGAUGCCUAAUUCCAUGCCAACCGCAUCCAAUGAAUUAAACCUAACAGUUUUUUCGGCUCCUGAUUAGAGCUGUUGUAAAAAAUAUCUAGCAUAAGCCCGCUGGUAAGGGCCACUAUGCAUAGAAUUUAUAAACAAUAACACCAAUCCGUUAGUGUGUGCUUGUACCAGUGCUCGUGAGCUGCACAUUUAUUAAUGUGCUCUAUCUUCGUGUUCCCGUUUGUACUAGCAGCAUAGAGGCUAGAGUGUGGUAUGCCCACAUUCACCAAGUUCCCGGAACGAUGGGGUCAUGGAAUGAGGAACGCUCUUUGAGAAAGGAUUUUCUACUGUCGGAACGAAACUGAUCUACGAUCCCGGUGACUCAUGUGACUGUGGGUAUGCGUAUGUCUAGUGCAAUGCGUUAAUAAAUUUUAAAGAUGUGGAACGGGUUCACUUUUACACCCUCUAUUAAAAAUAUCGGUUGUUUAAGCUUUGUCCCAAGUGAAAUUAAACUUGGGUAUCUUUAACUUUACAUGAAAAAUAUAAUAAUAUCUAAAGCGUUGUAUUAAUUUAUUCCUUAAAUUAUGUCUUAAUUGGUCAAAGUUAAAGAGAGUUUUAUAGUUAUUAGGACAAAACCAAAUUGGAAGAAACCUGCAUUUACAAACAUGGGCAUUACCGAAACACAACAGAACCAAGCGUAUCUAUCUUUUCUUUUUGAGAACAUUAUUCCGGAUAUCUUCAUUUUUUUUAGAAAAUAAAAAACUUCCGGCCGGCCUCUGCAUUACAAUUUACAAUGUUAUCAGCUUAUUGUUAAUCUCUUCAAUAGUUCAACCAUUCUUAUUGGAAUGCAACUAUGUUCAAACACAAAACCAACGGCAAGCAGUAAAAGCGAGACGAUAACAUGGAGUUAGUUAUUAUUAAUCAAACACGGAGGGCAGAUAACAGUUAUCGGAAAGAAGUUCAUCUCAAAGACUCAAACAAGCAGACGGAAAUCGGCCAUUGGAUGAUCACACGCAGCUCGAAUUUGCGUUGCUUGUCGUCCUAGCUUAGCCAAUGUAGUACAAGGGGUCGGGCAGCUUGAAGGUGCGGGCGCCCUCCGGUGCGCCGAGGAUGUCGCUCCACUGGUCGCCGAUGUUGCCGACGAUGACA